UACGGGGGGGGCAAGCGUUGUUCGGAAUUACUGGGCGUAAAGGGCGCGUAGGCGGCCUGCUAAGUCGGACGUGAAAUCCCUCGGCUCAACCGGGGAACUGCGUGUGAUACUGGAUGGCUUGGAUUUGGGAGAGGGAUGCGGAAUUCCAGGUGUAGCGGUGAAAUGCGUAGAUAUCUGGAGGAACACCGGUGGCGAAGGCGGCAUCCUGGACCAAUAUUGACGCUGAGGAGCGAAAGCCAGGGGAGCAAACGGG
rnacentral:rRNA from 1 species